CUGGGACUGCAGCGCCGCCUCACUCCGGCUGAGAGGACACGGACCCUGGUCCUCUGCUUCAUGGUCUCAGGGUGUCUGUGUGAGGUCACGGUCGAGCAGCCCCCCCUGGUCUCUGCUGCUCUGGGUCAUGAUGUCAUCAUGCCCUGUGUCCUCCAGGUCACAGCAGAGGACACCAUGGUGACCCCGCCCAUCCUCUACUGGUCCCAAAUGAUGGAGAACGUCACCACUGCUAAACUGUGGACCCCCUCUCCGCCUUAUAAGGGACGCGUGGACCUGCUGGACACCAACAGGUCCUCUAACAACAAGUCCAUCCUCCUCAGGAACGUCCAGUGGACGGACAGCGGGAAGUACGAAUGCAAAAUGUCCAUCACUACCAAGAAGAGCAGUUUCAGGAAGAAAGGACGUAAAACGGCCCUGGUGGUUCAUGACACCAUGCUCUUUAACGUGACCGUACACAACGGCUCUCUGCUCCGCUGUGAGGUGAACGUGACGCGGGAUCCUGGGCUCUCUUUGGUUAUUGUCCAUAACAACAGCUGCAGGCUGCAGACCGAGGACUCGGCUGCAGGUGGCGCUGUCCACACCGCCCUGUCUGCGAGUGCUCCUCUGCGGGGAGGCGGGAGGUACGAGUGCCGGCUGAGCCUGGAAGGACUCCUGAUAACACAGAGCUUCUUCUACAGCCACCUGCCAGUGUCUGGAGAAGCUGGUCAGACUGACACAGGAGCCACAGCUCAUCCACCUGUCGUGUACCCGGAGCCCUGGUUCCUGUAUGUGACCCUCCUGCUGGUUCACGUCAUCGUCCUGCUGGUGAUCCUGGCCGCCAUGCUGAGGUACAAGGUGUCAGCGAGAGGCGGAGCUACGAACACAUGAGAUGUGACAUCACCACUCAAAUGUAAAAACAUUUAACCAUGCAUUUUAUUUUGAAAGGGUUAACAGUGACUGGGUCCUGACUGCUUUUAUUUUGACUUUAAAUGACUGGUGCUGCUUUGCCUCCCUCUGCUGGUGAGACGGGGCGUGUGCUGUUAACCUCACUUCACACACGUCACUGUUAUUCAUCCAAUAAAAAGCUCCCAGUGACUGAGUGGGGUCA
rnacentral:lncRNA from 1 species